rnacentral:misc_RNA from 1 species
AUGGAUGUUGGGAGGAGGAGUAUUGGGAGGAGUAUUGUGUUUGAGAAAAGAGCAGCAUUGCGUAAUGAGAAAAGCGCAAGCAGCAUUCACAAACUUUUAAUGAAUGUUCAAACAAGGCAAAAACAAAGCAAAA